UACGGAGGGAGCUAGCGUUGUUCGGAAUUACUGGGCGUAAAGCGCACGUAGGCGGCUUUGUAAGUUAGAGGUGAAAGCCUGGGGCUCAACCCCAGAAUUGCCUUUAAGACUGCAUCGCUUGAAUCCGGGAGAGGUGAGUGGAAUUCCGAGUGUAGAGGUGAAAUUCGUAGAUAUUGGGAAGAACACCGGUGGCGAAGGCGGCUCACUGGCUCGUAACUGACGCUCAUGCACGACAGCGUGGGGAUCAAACAGG
rnacentral:rRNA from 1 species